ensembl:snRNA U6 U6 spliceosomal RNA
GUGUUCACUUUGGCAGCACAUACACUAAAAUUGGAAAGAUACAAAGAUUAGCAAAGCCCCCAGAUAAGGAUGAAAUACAAAUUUGUGAAGUAUUCCAUAUUUAA